UACGUAGGGGGCAAGCGUUGUCCGGAAUUAUUGGGCGUAAAGCGCGCGCAGGCGGUUCCUUAAGUCUGAUGUGAAAGCCCACGGCUCAACCGUGGAGGGUCAUUGGAAACUGGGGAACUGGAAUGCAGAAGAGGAGAGUGGAAUUCCACGUGUAGCGGUGAAAUGCGUAGAUAUGUGGAGGAACACCAGUGGCGAAGGCGGCUCUCUGGUCUGUUAUUGACGCUGAGGCGCGAAAGCGUGGGGAGCAAACAGG
rnacentral:misc_RNA from 1 species